rnacentral:rRNA from 1 species
UACGGAGGGAGCUAGCGUUGUUCGGAAUUACUGGGCGUAAAGCGCACGUAGGCGGCUUUGUAAGUUAGAGGUGAAAGCCUGGAGCUCAACUCCAGAAUUGCCUUUGAUACUGCAUGGCUUGAAUCCAGGAGAGGUGAGUGGAAUUCCGAGUGUAGAGGUGAAAUUCGUAGAUAUUCGGAAGAACACCAGUGGCGAAGGCGACUCACUGGACACGUAUUGACGCUGAGGUGGCGAAAAGCG